UAAACAAUCAACACAAUCAGCUCCCCUGAAAGUCAAUACAUAUGAACCCUAACCCCUUCCUUCUGCCGAUAUGCAUAACCCCAUUGAUUGCAUGUAUACAUGGAAUCGAUCCUAUGCGUUCUACUAAAGUUUCUUUUCCACCCUUCGUUCCCGAUUCCCCAUCAACUCUCCACCCAAAUUCACCGGAAGUUUAUGAAAACCUAGAAGAAUGUUCUUUUCUCUAUUUGGGAGAAGCUUUGGGCAUUUCGUACAAGUUUUGUAGGUAAUUUGAAUGAUAUAAUAACUAUCGCCAAGAAAUCAGGAAGGUAAUUUGAAUUCAUUUUUCAAUUUUGAAAUGACAAAUUAAAAUGCAAUUCACUCACAUUGUUACAGGUUCUAUUGUUCAUAUUAUCCUUUUUUGUUCUAGGGUGUUGAGAAAUUGUUGAGUAUGUAUCGACUCAUUUUCAUCUAUUUGAUUUCCAAUUAAUGGAGAAUAAUUUGAAGGUCUUCAUUCCUCAGCAAAUGUAUAGAAGACUUUGAUGGUAUUGAAGGUUUAAUAGAAGAGGUAAUUUCAUCCUCAAUUUAAGUGAUUGGAGCUUAGGAAGGAACGAAAAUUUAUAUGGAUGUGCUUGGUGAUUGGAAGAAUGGAUACUAUAUCAAUUGGACUUUGGAAAGUGGAAAGUAAUGAAAAUUCAUAUCCGAUAUCUCUCUAUAAGUGGAGAUACUUCGUGGGCUAUUUGGAUUUUCAUUCACAAUCGGUGGGUUAAAGUAGAUGAUAAUACUUACAAUGAAAGUGCACAUGAAUGGUGGGAUUAUAGAAACAAUACCCUAUAUUUCUUUAGAGGAAAUACAAUUGAGUAUGAGGUUCCGACACAUUAUUCUCAACAAGUUUUUUCAAUCCGUUCUGAUUUUGAUACAGUGACUAUGCCAGGUCGAUAUUACUGAUUAUAUAUAUUUUAAUUUGCAUUCGAACAUAGUUGUUUUUAUUGUAAUGAACUAUUUUAAUAUUUUAUAUUAUUCUAUGAUUUAUUACUUUUUUUUAUUUAUUGUUUUAAUUGUUAUGAAAUUAAAAUAGCUAUUGUAAUGUAUGUUAAUGAAUUUAAAAUAGCUAUGGUAAACUACUUUUAAUUGUCAUGCUUCCUAUGAUGUAAUAUAAGUUUACAAUUCAAUGUUUUUAAAUAUGCUCCUGUGUUUAACGCGGGUUUUAAUCUAGUUUAUUACAAAUCAAGACCAUUUAAUUUAAUUGCUUAGAUUUCCGUGACUAUGUAUAAAAUAAUUUAAUUAAAAGAUCCAGAUUAU